GACGAACGCUGGCGGCGUGCUUAACACAUGCAAGUCGAACGAUGAAGCCCAGCUUGCUGGGUGGAAGAGUGGCGAACGGGUGAGUAACACGUGAGUAACCUGCCCAUCACUCUGGGAUAAGCGCUGGAAACGGCGUCUAAUACUGGAUAUGAACAGCGGCCGCAUGGUCAGUUGUUGGAAAGAUUUAUUGGUGAUGGAUGGACUCGCGGCCUAUCAGCUAGUUGGUGAGGUAAUGGCUCACCAAGGCGACGACGGGUAGCCGGCCUGAGAGGGUGACCGGCCACACUGGGACUGAGACACGGCCCAGACUCCUACGGGAGGCAGCAGUGGGGAAUAUUGCACAAUGGGCGCAAGCCUGAUGCAGCAACGCCGCGUGAGGGAUGACGGCCUCGGUU
rnacentral:rRNA from 1 species